AACGAACGCUGGCGGCAUGCCUAACACAUGCAAGUCGAACGAGACCUUCGGGUCUAGUGGCGCACGGGUGCGUAACGCGGGGGAACCUGCCCUUAGGGUCCGAAUAACUCCCCGAAAGGGGUGCUAAUAACGGAAAAUGUCUUCGGACCAAAGAUUUAUCGCCUUUGGAUGGGCCCGCGUUGAUUAGCUAGUUGGUAGGGUAAAAGCCUACCAAGGCGACGAUCCAUAGCUGGUCUGAGAGGAUGAUCAGCCACACUGGGACUGAGACACGGCCCAGACUCCUACGGGAGGUAGCAGUGGGGAAUAUUGGACAAUGGGCGAAAGCCUGAUCCAGCAAUGCCGCGUGAGUGAUGAAGGCCUUAGGGUUGUAAAGCUCUUUUACCCGGGAUGAUAAUGACAGUACCGGGAGAAUAAGCUCCGGCUAACUCCGUG
rnacentral:rRNA from 1 species